rnacentral:rRNA from 1 species
GGCGGCAACUUACACAUGCAAGUCGAGCGCCCCGCAAGGGGAGCGGCAGACGGGUGAGUAACGCGUGGGAAUCUACCCUUGACUACGGAAUAACGCAGGGAAACUUGUGCUAAUACCGUAUGUGUCCUUCGGGAGAAAGAUUUAUCGGUCAAGGAUGAGCCCGCGUUGGAUUAGCUAGUUGGUGGGGUAAAGGCCUACCAAGGCGACGAUCCAUAGCUGGUCUGAGAGGAUGAUCAGCCACAUUGGGACUGAGACACGGCCCAAACUCCUACGGGAGGCAGCAGUGGGGAAUAUUGGACAAUGGGCGCAAGCCUGAUCCAGCCAUGCCGCGUGAGUGAUGAAGGCCCUAGGGUUGUAAAGCUCUUUCACCGGAGAAGAUAAUGACGGUAUCCGGAGAAGAAGCCCCGGCUAACUUCGUGCCAGCAGCCGCGGUAAUACGAAGGGGGCUAGCGUUGUUCGGAAUUACUGGGCGUAAAAGCGCACGUAGGCCGGAAUCGAUCAGUCAGGGGUGAAAAUCCCCAGGGCUCAACCCUGGAACUGCCUUUGAUACUGUCGAUCUGGAGUAUGGAAAGAAGGUGAGUGGAAAUUCCGAGGUGUAGAGGUGAAAUUCGUAAAUUUUCGGGAGGAACACCAGUUGGGGAAGGCGGGCUCACUGGUCCAUUAACUGACGCUUAGGGUGCAAAAACCGUGGGGGAGCAAAACAGGGAAUUAAGAUACCCUGGUAAUCCCACCCCCGUAAAACAAUUGAAAUGGUUAGCCGUUCGGGGCAAGUAAAACUGGUUCGGGGGGCCCAGCCUUAAAGGCAUUUAAAAAAUUUCCCCCUUGGGGGGGUAACGGGUCCCAAGAAUAAAAAUUCAAAGGGAAUUGACCGGGGGCCCCCCCCCAAACGGGGGGAACCAUGGGGUUUAAUUUGAAAGCAACCCGCGAAAACCUUAAACCGCCCCUUGAA